UUAAGCGACUAAGCGUACACGGUGGAUGCCCUGGCAGUCAGAGGCGAUGAAGGACGUGCUAAUCUGCGAAAAGCGUCGGUAAGGUGAUAUGAACCGUUAUAACCGGCGAUGUCCGAAUGGGGAAACCCAGUGCAAUUCGUUGCACUAUCGUUAACUGAAUACAUAGGUUAGCGAGGCGAACCGGGGGAACUGAAACAUCUAAGUACCCCGAGGAAAAGAAAUCAACCGAGAUUCCCCCAGUAGCGGCGAGCGAACGGGGAGCAGCCCAGAGUCUGAAUCAGCUUGUGUGUUAGUGGAACGGUCUGGAAAGUCCGACGGUACAGGGUGAUAGUCCCGUACACCAAAAUGCACAGGUUGUGAACUCGAAGAGUAGGGCGGGACACGUGGUAUCCUGUCUGAAUAUGGGGGGACCAUCCUCCAAGGCUAAAUACUCCUGACUGACCGAUAGUGAACCAGUACCGUGAGGGAAAGGCGAAAAGAACCCCGGCGAGGGGAGUGAAAAAGAACCUGAAACCGUGUACGUACAAGCAGUGGGAGCACCUUCGGGUGUGACUGCGUACCUUUUGUAUAAUGGGUCAGCGACUUAUAUUCUGUAGCAAGGUUAACCGUAUAGGGGAGCCGCAGGGAAACCGAGUCUUAACUGGGCGUUAAGUUGCAGGGUAUAGACCCGAAACCCGGUGAUCUAGCCAUGGGCAGGUUGAAGGUUGGGUAACACUAACUGGAGGACCGAACCGACUAAUGUUGAAAAAUUAGCGGAUGACUUGUGGCUGGGGGUGAAAGGCCAAUCAAACCGGGAGAUAGCUGGUUCUCCCCGAAAGCUAUUUAGGUAGCGCCUCGUGAACUCAUCUUCGGGGGUAGAGCACUGUUUCGGCUAGGGGGUCAUCCCGACUUACCAACCCGAUGCAAACUACGAAUACCGAAGAAUGUUAUCACGGGAGACACACGGCGGGUGCUAACGUCCGUCGUGAAGAGGGAAACAACCCAGACCGCCAGCUAAGGUCCCAAAGUCAUGGUUAAGUGGGAAACGAUGUGGGAAGGCACAGACAGCCAGGAUGUUGGCUUAGAAGCAGCCAUCAUUUAAAGAAAGCGUAAUAGCUCACUGGUCGAGUCGGCCUGCGCGGAAGAUGUAACGGGGCUAAACCAUGCACCGAAGCUGCGGCAGCGACACUAUGUGUUGUUGGGUAGGGGAGCGUUCUGUAAGCCUGCGAAGGUGACCUGUGAGGGUUGCUGGAGGUAUCAGAAGUGCGAAUGCUGACAUAAGUAACGAUAAAGCGGGUGAAAAGCCCGCUCGCCGGAAGACCAAGGGUUCCUGUCCAACGUUAAUCGGGGCAGGGUGAGUCGACCCCUAAGGCGAGGCCGAAAGGCGUAGUCGAUGGGAAACAGGUUAAUAUUCCUGUACUUGGUGUUACUGCGAAGGGGGGACGGAGAAGGCUAUGUUAGCCGGGCGACGGUUGUCCCGGUUUAAGCAUGUAGGCUGGUUGUCCAGGCAAAUCCGGAUAAUCAAGGCUGAGGUGUGAUGACGAGGCACUACGGUGCUGAAGUAACAAAUGCCCUGCUUCCAGGAAAAGCCUCUAAGCAUCAGGUAACAUUAAAUCGUACCCCAAACCGACACAGGUGGUCAGGUAGAGAAUACCAAGGCGCUUGAGAGAACUCGGGUGAAGGAACUAGGCAAAAUGGUGCCGUAACUUCGGGAGAAGGCACGCUGGUGUGUAGGUGAAGCCCCUGCGGGUGGAGCUGAGACCAGUCGAAGAUACCAGCUGGCUGCAACUGUUUAUUAAAAACACAGCACUGUGCAAACACGAAAGUGGACGUAUACGGUGUGACGCCUGCCCGGUGCCGGAAGGUUAAUUGAUGGGGUUAUCCGUAAGGAGAAGCUCUUGAUCGAAGCCCCGGUAAACGGCGGCCGUAACUAUAACGGUCCUAAGGUAGCGAAAUUCCUUGUCGGGUAAGUUCCGACCUGCACGAAUGGCGUAAUGAUGGCCAGGCUGUCUCCACCCGAGACUCAGUGAAAUUGAACUCGCUGUGAAGAUGCAGUGUACCCGCGGCAAGACGGAAAGACCCCGUGAACCUUUACUAUAGCUUGACACUGAACAUUGAGCCUUGAUGUGUAGGAUAGGUGGGAGGCUUUGAAGCGUGGACGCCAGUCUGCGUGGAGCCAACCUUGAAAUACCACCCUUUAAUGUUUGAUGUUCUAACGUUGGCCCCUUAUCGGGGUUGCGGACAGUGUCUGGUGGGUAGUUUGACUGGGGCGGUCUCCUCCCAAAGCGUAACGGAGGAGCACGAAGGUUAGCUAAUCCUGGUCGGACAUCAGGAGGUUAGUGCAAUGGCAUAAGCUAGCUUGACUGCGAGCGUGACGGCGCGAGCAGGUGCGAAAGCAGGUCAUAGUGAUCCGGUGGUUCUGAAUGGAAGGGCCAUCGCUCAACGGAUAAAAGGUACUCCGGGGAUAACAGGCUGAUACCGCCCAAGAGUUCAUAUCGACGGCGGUGUUUGGCACCUCGAUGUCGGCUCAUCACAUCCUGGGGCUGAAGUAGGUCCCAAGGGUAUGGCUGUUCGCCAUUUAAAGUGGUACGCGAGCUGGGUUUAGAACGUCGUGAGACAGUUCGGUCCCUAUCUGCCGUGGGCGCUGGAGAAUUGAGGGGGGCUGCUCCUAGUACGAGAGGACCGGAGUGGACGCAUCACUGGUGUUCGGGUUGUCAUGCCAAUGGCACUGCCCGGUAGCUAAAUGCGGAAGAGAUAAGUGCUGAAAGCAUCUAAGCACGAAACUUGCCCCGAGAUGAGUUCUCCCUGAGACUUUAAGUCUCCUGAAGGAACGUUGAAGACGACGACGUUGAUAGGCCGGGUGUGUAAGCGCAGCGAUGCGUUGAGCUAACCGGUACUAAUGAACCGUGAGGCUUAACCUU
rnacentral:rRNA from 1 species